UAGAAGAUGGCUGUGCGUCUGAUUAGCUAGUUGGUACGGUAGUGGCGUACCAAGGCGACGAUCAGUAGGGGGCGUGAGAGCGUGGUCCCCCACACGGGUACUGAGACACGGACCCGACUCCUACGGGAGGCAGCAGUAAGGAAUAUUGGACAAUGCCCGGAAGGGUGAUCCAGCCAUUCCGCGUGGAGGAAGACGGCCUUAUGGGUUGUAAACUCCUUUUAGAUGGGAAGAAACCCUGGAUAUAAAUCUGGGCUGACGGUACCAUCAGAAUAAGCACCGGCUAACUCCGUGCCAGCAGCCGCAGUAAUACGGAGGGUGCAAAGCGUUAUCCGGAAUCACUGGGUUUAAAGGGUGCGUAGGCGGUUGAAUAAGUCAGAGGUGAAAUGCUGCAGCUUAACUGUAGAAUUGCCUUUGAUACUGUUUAACUUGAAUCGAGAUGAGGUAGACGGAAUGUGACAAGUAGCGGUGAAAUGCAUAGAUAUGUCAUAGAAGGCCGAUUGCGAAGGCAGGUUACUAGGCUUAGAUUGACGCUGAGGCACGAAAGCGUGGGGAGCGACCAGGAUUAGAUACCCUGGUAGUCCACGCCGUAGACGAUGCUAACUCGUCGUGUGUAUCGAAGAUUUGCCCGGCCAAGGGAACUCGAUAAGUUAGCCACCUGGGGAAUACGUUCGCAAGAAUGAUACUCAAAGGAAUUAACGGGGGUACGCACAACCGCUGAGCUAUCUGGUUUAAUUCGAUGAUACGCGAGGGACCUACACUGGGCUCGAAUGGUUAGUGCAACUGUGAGAAAUCACGGGUUCAUUCGGGACGCUAAUCAAGGUUGCUGCAUGGUCGUCGUCAGCUCGUGCCGUGAGGUGUUGGGUUUAGUCCCGCAACGAGCGCAACCCCUGGGUUUAGUUACCAGCUACGUAGAGUUGGGGACUCUAGACCGACUGCCGGCGUUAAGCCGCGAGGAAGGUGUGGAUGACGUCAAAUCAUCAUGGCCUUUAUGUCCAGGGCUACACACGUGCUACAAUGGUCAGUACAGAGGGUAUCGAAGCCGCGAGGUGGAGACAAUAUUUAAAAGCUGAUCGUAGUUCGGAUUGGAGUCU
rnacentral:rRNA from 1 species